AGAGGGCCGACCCGUCAGGCGUUGAUCACCGGGCCAACGGGAGACAAUGUGGCGUGAUGCUGACGCAGCCCACUGACAAGCCAGCGCGAGGCCCAGGGGAGCAGCUCUGAGCCGAGCAGCCAGAGCCAGGCAGCCUUUCCUGCAGACUCCAGGACUUCAGGCAUUUGACCCCAAAUUCUUUAUUUGUUUCACCUCCUCUUGAAGGACUGCAAGCAUGGUUUCUUCAGAUGCCCACUUAAGGAAAACUUCUCAACUCUUCUACUUCUAAGAAUCCCCUGCCUCCAUCCCUAGAGAAUCAUGGCUUCAAAAUGAAACAUAAAACAAAGUUUUGAGCUGACUUUGGUAAGUACAAGACCUAGGGCUUGUGAUUCCCUCCCCUGCCCUUAGCCCAAUCCAUAAAUCUUUUCAUUUAAGUCAAACUUGAUAAAAACAACAAUUUAAAAUUUCCUUGAAGGGAAAAACAAGUUUUUGGAAGGUCAACCUAGAAGUUGUGAAUGGAUAUGUUAGGGACAGCAUCAUAGAUUUUGCCUUGGAAAUUUAGGAA
rnacentral:lncRNA from 1 species